UUUCCGUAGGUGAACCUGCGGAAGGAUCAUUAUUGAAUAACCUAGGUACGAGGGCUGUCGCUGACCCGAAAGGUCGUGCACGCCCGAGUGCCCUCACACACAUCCAUCUCACCCCUAUGUGCACCACCGCUUGGGUCCCCCUUUGGCUUUUUCGGAGGGGGGCUUACGUUUUCACACAAACUUUGUAUGCAGUGUAGAAUGUAUUUUUUGUUUUUGCGAUCACGCAAUCAAUACAACUUUCAACAACGGAUCUCUUGGCUCUC
rnacentral:misc_RNA from 1 species